rnacentral:rRNA from 1 species
UACGAGGGGUGCAAGCGUUAUUCGGAAUUACUGGGCGUAAAGAGCGCGUAGGCGGCUAUUUAAGUCUGUUGUUAAAUUACCCGGCUUAACCGGGUGUCAGCGAUAGAAACUGGAUGGCUAGAGGGUAAGAGAGAGAAGUGGAAUUCUCGGAGUAGCGGUAAAAUGCGUAGAUCUCGAGAGGAACACCAAUAGCGAAGGCAGCUUCUUGGCUUACUACUGACGCUCAAGUGCGAAAGCGUGGGGAGCAAACAGG